rnacentral:rRNA from 1 species
UACGGGGGGGGGCAAGCGUUGUUCGGAAUUACUGGGCGUAAAGGGCUCGUAGGCGGCCAACUAAGUCAGACGUGAAAUCCCUCGGCUUAACCGGGGAACUGCGUCUGAUACUGGAUGGCUUGAGUUCGGGAGAGGGAUGCGGAAUUCCAGGUGUAGCGGUGAAAUGCGUAGAUAUCAAGAGGAACACCUGAGGUGAAGACGGGUUGCUGGGCUGACACUGACGCUGAGGCGCGAAAGCCAGGGGAGCAAACGGG